GUCUAGGUAGUAUAGUGGUUAGUAUGCUCGCUUGUGGUCGCUUCACAGACAAUUCGCGAUUGACGUCAGUUCGAUUCUGGCCCUGGACA